rnacentral:lncRNA from 1 species
UUUGAAAUAAUUCCAGGUCUCAAACAGUCAGAACCAUCAAGUAUAGUCAAACCAAAUGGAUGUCCACUAAUAAACAACCCAAUAUAAAUAUAAAUCAAGAUAACAAUAAGAAAGCCCAAACAAAAACGUAGAAAAUCUGGCUUGUAGGUAGGAAUUAACGAAUAUUAUCAAAUAUAAACACUAAACUGGAAAAAAACAGCUACACUGCUUAUCAUCAGUGGUGUCCAAUGGCAUAAAAGA